UUUGGGAAGGAAGAAGUCAUGAGGCAGCAAAAAGGAAAGUUUUAAAUGCCCCCCUAGUCCUGGGAAUAGGUGAAACAAUAAUGGGAUCAGACAAAGGGGUCCUUCAGAAAUUGUGGAGAGGGUUGAGGGAGAACUUGAAAAGAGGCAGGGUUGUUCUUACUUGCCAUUGAGUGCACUGGGAGGACAAAUGUUGAAUAGGUUGCCUGUGCUCCAACACUGGAUGUCUAUAAAAAUGGCAAUGUAGUGUUAGACGAAGGGCCUCUACCAGGUUGGAAGAGGUAUAGCAGCUUCCUGUGCCCACGGGGAACAUAGAAAUUGGCUAGCUAUAUAGCUGGGGGAGUUGGAAUAGUUGUGCAGAGUGAGCUUGUGGAUCCUGUAGCUAAGAGCUGGCCACAACCAACUGUGUCUGAGCCAGAGCUUAGAGAGGAUCUAUAGCUCUUUCUAGAACAAAGUGUCAGGCAAAUCAGCAAGAAAGGAUACUGGCUCUCAGCCCAGUCAAAAGAACAGACCACUUGUGGCUGCUGUGGUGAGCAAACACCACAGCAGACCAGCUGGACAGCAUGAAUACCAAAGAAGAUCCAAUCCACAGCACUAUCUCACCAUGAGGAAUGAAGCCCUCUUCUCAAGCCUCCACAGGGCAGGGAGAAGCAGAGACAGAAAGAGUCAAGAUAGGAGUCAAACUCAAAUGGACUGAGUAAUUUAAUUUAACUCUUUCACU
rnacentral:lncRNA from 1 species